GUCAAUGUCGAAGUCGUCAAUGUCCAUGCUUUGCUGCAGACAGGGAAUGUGAUCCAGAUGUUUGUAGGAAUUGUUGGGUCAGUUGUGGUGAUGGUACUCUCGGGGUUCCUAACCAAAGAGGUGAUAAUUAUGAAUGCAGGAAUAUGAAGCUUCUUCUUAAACAACAACAAAGGGUUUUACUUGGAAGAUCUGAUGUAUCUGGUUGGGGAGCUUUCUUGAAGAAUAGUGUUGGCAAGCACGAGUAUCUAGGUGAAUACACUGGAGAGCUGAUUUCACACAGGGAAGCAGAUAAGCGGGGGAAGAUAUAUGACCGUGAAAAUUCAUCAUUUCUCUUCAAUCUGAACGAUCAGUUUGUUCUUGAUGCUUACCGCAAGGGUGAUAAAUUGAAGUUUGCCAACCACUCACCAGACCCAAAUUGCUACGCAAAGGUCAUAAUGGUUGCAGGGGAUCACCGUGUGGGUAUAUUUGCCAAAGAACGAAUUAGUGCAGGAGAAGAACUUUUCUACGACUAUCGAUAUGAGCCAGACAGAGCUCCUGCCUGGGCUAGGAAGCCUGAAGCAUCUGGA
rnacentral:misc_RNA from 1 species